UAAUUCAAGUCAAGAUGAACUAAUGGA
rnacentral:piRNA from 1 species